rnacentral:rRNA from 1 species
GACGGAAGGUGCAAGCGUUGCUCGGAAUCACUGGGCGUAAAGGGUGCGUAGGCGGCUUGGUAAGUUGGGUGUGAAAGCCCCGGGCUCAGCCCGGGAAGGGCACUCGAAACUGCCGAGCUGGAGUGCCGGAGGGGAGAGUGGAAUUCCUGGUGUAGCGGUGAAAUGCGUAGAUAUCAGGAGGAAUACCGGUGGUGAAAGCGACUCUCUGGACGGCAACUGACGCUGAGGCACGAAAGCGUGGGGAGCAAACAGG